rnacentral:rRNA from 1 species
AUUGAACGCUGGCGGCAGGCCUAACACAUGCAAGUCGAACGAGUGGCGGACGGGUGAGUAAUGUCUGGGAAACUGCCCGAUGGAGGGGGAUAACUACUGGAAACGGUAGCUAAUACCGCAUACCAUCAGAUGUGCCCAGAUGGGAUUAGCUAGUUGGUGGGGUAACGGCUCACCAAGGCGACGAUCCCUAGCUGUUCUGAGAGGAUGAUCAGCAACACGGGAACUGAGACACGGUCCAGACGCCGACGGGAGGCAGCAGUGGGGAAUAUUGCAAAAUGGGCGCAAGCCUGAUGAAGCCAUGCCGCGUGUAGGAAGAAGGCCUUCGGGUUGUAAAGUACUUUCAGCGGGGAGGCGUUACCCGCAGAAGAAGCACCGGCUAACUCCGUGCCAGCAGCCGCGGUAAUAC